UUUUUACUUAACUUAAAAUUAGACUUAAUAAUAUGAUUGAUUUGUUAUAUUUUGCCAUACAGUGACAUCAAUCAGGGCAUUCUUCAAGGGUGCUGAUACAUGGAAAAAGGAAACCAAAGUAAAAGAGACAACUCAAAACAAAGGAGGCACUUAUUUGUAUGAUAUUCACUUCUGGAUUGGAAAGGAUACAAGUCAGGAUGAGGCUGGAACAGCAGCCAU